GUCGCGAUGCCGCAGUGGUUUACCGGGUCCGCCUGCUAUUGAAUUUAGCAGUCUAUUGUUAAAAACAGACACAAGCGGGUGCUCUUUGAGCGCGCAGGUUCGAAUCCUGCUCGCGACG